CGCCUUCGCGGGAGUGACGGUAAAUGGCCAUUUCAGAAAUUCCCCAAGAGGGAACACGGUCAAGCCGUGGCUGCCCCCGCAACUGUAAACAGCGAGUCCAAUGCAAUCGGCCACUGGGUAACCGGGAAGGCGCGGCGGACGAAGACCUGUCAGCCAGGAGACCUGCCGACGAACGCUGGUCGCG
rnacentral:ncRNA from 2 species